CCUACGGGUGGCAGCAGUGGGGAAUAUUGCACAUUGGGGGAAACCCUGAUGCAGCCACGCCGCGUGAAGGAAGAAGGCUUUCGGGUUGUAAACUACUGUUCUUAGUGAAGAAGAAUGACGGUAGCUAAGGAGCAAGCCACGGCUAACUACGUGACAGCAGCCGCGGUAAUACGUAGGUGGCAAGCGUUGUCCGGAAUCACUGGGUGUAAAGGGAGCGCAGGCGGGAAGCCAAGUCAGCUGUGAAAACUACGGGCUUAACUUGUAGACUGCAGUUGAAACUGGUUUGCUUGAGUGAAGUAGAGGUUGGCGGAAUUCCGGGUGUAGCGGUGAAAUGCGUAGAGAUUCGGAGGAACACCGGUGGCGAAGGCGGCCAACUGGGCGUUAACUGACGCUGAGGCUCGAAAGUGUGGGGAGCAAACAGGAUUAGAUACCCGGGUAGUC
rnacentral:rRNA from 1 species